AGGAUGAGAACCUCCGGGGGCAGGGAGGUUCGACUCGAGCGAAGCGAGAGAACGUUGCGCCAGCAACGGCCCGCAGGGCGAGCCACGAAGUGGCGAGUAAUCCUCUGGCACCGACCA
rnacentral:sRNA from 1 species